rnacentral:lncRNA from 1 species
CUCAGCUGAGCCGUAAUUUUUUAAGACAUAAGCGGUCAAACAUCCAAGGAGCCGCGUGAACUUUCCCACGAACACGAGUGCAUAGUUGGGGGCAGUGGAUUUAUUCAUUUAUUGAGACGAGAUGAAGCGUUGAGAAAUGUUCAUAAACAACAUGUACAGUUUCGGGAUAUAUCCAAAUUGUAUGUUUGUACACUGUUGUACAAAGGUCACAGCCUGUUGAUGAAGAUCCUCAGCUUAUUAUACAGAGGUCAAGCUUGAGCUAUGUGCUGAUUCAAAAGAUGCUAAUGACAGUGGAUAAUCCUUUCUGAGUUGUUCUAUGACCAUUUACCAGCAUUUCAAAACACUGAUGGAACUUAAGGCAGUACAUGUACUGGUGUCUGGCCUGUGAUUUCAAGUAUAGACUAUAAUUGAUGUGCCUCCUGAUGUCUCCUUGAAUACAAUAUUGUGAAAGGAACAAGCUGCAAGAUAUACUGUGGAAGUGGGGGCCUAUGUAAAAACAUUUUAUUUAAAGAAUAUAAGAAAUCUGACUCUAAACUACUGAAAAGAUGCACAGGGGACAUUUUUGUGUGUAUAGACUUUCAUCAAGAUUCUGAGAAAGUUGAUUUAUUAAACAAAAAUAGUCAUAUUGUGUCUUCAAAGCUGAAAAGAUUAAGAUCUUAGGAAAACAUUAGGACUCAAGAAAAGUAAUGGGGUAAUGAAACUGUAGUGUUCAACAUUUAAAUUGUUUUUUUUUUCACUACAUUUUGUGAAGAGGGUUCCAUCACAAGAUGUGACAUAUUGGUAAGAAUGAGAUGUAGUUUAUGAAAAAAAGUAUUUGCUUUAAAUGUGUAGACUUCAAGUUACAUAAAAAAUCAAAGCUGUAACAAUAAAGCUUGAUUAAAAAAAAACACACACUGUUGAAAACUAGCCAACAUGCAAUUAUCACACUUUUUUGGGUGCACAGGGGACACAGUUAGCUAUAUAAUUUAAUAUAACUUUAACCCUUAGGCCCUUGCUAAAUUUCUGUAAU